rnacentral:rRNA from 1 species
GACGAACGCUGGCGGCGUGCUUAACACAUGCAAGUCGAACGGAAAGGCCCUGCUUUUGUGGGGUGCUCGAGUGGCGAACGGGGGAGUAACACGUGAGUAACCUGCCCUUGACUUUGGGAUAACUUCAGGAAACUGGGGUUAAUACCGGAUAGGAGCUCCUGCUGCAUGGUGGGGGUUGGAAAGUUUCGGCGGUUGGGGAUGGAUGCGCGGCUUAUCAGCUUGUUGGUGGGGUAGUGGCUUACCAAGGCUUUGACGGGUAGCCGGCCUGAGAGGGUGACCGGCGACAUUGGGACUGAGAUACGGCCCAGACUCCUACGGGAGGCAGCAGUGGGGAAUAUUGCACAAUGAGAGGAAGCCUGAUGCAGCAACGCUGCGUGCGGGAUGACGGCCUUCGGGUUGUAAACCGCUUUCGCCUGUGACGAAGCGUGAGUGACGGUAAUGGGUAAAGAAGCACCGGCUAACUACGUG